GACGGAGGAUGCAAGCGUUAUCCGGAAUUACUGGGCGUAAAGGGCGCGUAGGCGGCCUGCUAAGUCGAACGUGAAAUCCCCGGGCUCAACCCGGGAACUGCGUCCGAUACUGGCAGGCUUGAAUCCGGGAGAGGGAUGCGGAAUUCCAGGUGUAGCGGUGAAAUGCGUAGAUAUCUGGAGGAACACCGGUGGCGAAGGCGGCAUCCUGGACCGGCACUGACGCUGAGGCGCGAAAGCCAGGGGAGCAAACGGG
rnacentral:rRNA from 1 species